GCGGGUGUAGCACAGUGGUUAGUGCGCCAGAUUGCCAAUUUGGAUACGGCGGUUCGAUUCCGCUCACCCGCU
rnacentral:tRNA from 1 species